rnacentral:rRNA from 1 species
GAUGAACGCUAGCGGCAGGCCUAACACAUGCAAGUCGAGGGGUAGAAGCUUUCGGGCUUUGAGACCGGCGCACGGGUGCGUAACGCGUAUGCAAUCUGCCUUGUACUGAGGGAUAGCCCAGAGAAAUUUGGAUUAACACCUCAUAGUAUUUUUGCCUGGCAUCAGGUGAUUAUUAAAGGUUACGGUACAAGAUGGGCAUGCGUCCCAUUAGCUAGUUGGUAUGGUAACGGCAUACCAAGGCUACGAUGGGUAGGGGUCCUGAGAGGGAGAUCCCCCACACUGGUACUGAGACACGGACCAGACUCCUACGGGAGGCAGCAGUGAGGAAUAUUGGUCAAUGAGCGCAAGCCUGAACCAGCCAUGCCGCGUGCAGGAUGAAGCAUCUAUGGUGUGUAAACUGCUUUUGUACGGGAAGAAACACUGCUACGUGUAGCAGCUUGACGGUACCGUAAGAAUAAGGAUCGGCUAACUCCGUGCCAGCCGCCGCAGUAAGAC